rnacentral:rRNA from 1 species
GGAGGGUGCAAGCGUUAAUCGGAAUUACUGGGCGUAAAGCGCGCGUAGGCGGUUUAGUCAGUCGGAUGUGAAAGCCCAGGGCUCAACCUUGGAAUUGCAUUCGAUACUGCUUGACUAGAGUAUGGUAGAGGGAAGUGGAAUUUCCGGUGUAGUGGUGAAAUGCGUAGAUAUCGGAAGGAACACCAGUGGCGAAGGCGACUUCCUGGGCCAAUACUGACGCUGAGGUGCGAAAAGCGUGGGGAGCAAAACGGGGGAUUAGAUACCCUGGUAGUCCACGCCGUAAACGAUGAGAACUAGAUGUUGGGAGGGUUACCUCUCGGUGUCGCAGCUAAACGCAUUAAGUUCUCCGCCUGGGGGAGUACGCCGCAACGGUAA